AUUGAACGCUGGCGGAAUGCUUUACACACGCAAGUCGAACGGCAGCACGGACUUCGGUCUGGUGGCGAGUGGCGAACGGGUGAGUAAUACAUCGGAACGUGCCCAAUCGUGGGGGAUAACGUAGCGAAAGCUACGCUAAUACCGCAUACGAUCGAAGGAUGAAAGCGGGGGAUCGCAAGACCUAGCGCGAAUGGAGUGGCCGAUGGCAGAUUAGGUAGUUGGUAGGGUAAAGGCCUACCAAGCCGACGAUCUGUAGGUGGUCUGAGAGGAUGAUCAGCCCCACUGGGAAUGAGACACGGCCCAGACUCCUACGGUAGGCAGCAGUGGGGAAGUUUGGACAAUGGACGCAAGUCUGAUCCAGCCAUUCCGCGUGCAGGAUGAAGUCCCUCGGGUUGUAAACUGCUUUUGUACAGAACGAAAAGGCUCUGGUUAAUACCUGGGGCUCAUGACGGUACUGUAAGAAUAAGCACCGGCUAACUACGUGCCAGCAGCCGCAGUAA
rnacentral:rRNA from 1 species